GUCUUGGUGGCUCAGUUGGCUAGAGCGUUGGUCUCAUACUAUAGUGUGAUUCAACCACAGGUUGGGCUAUCCAAAGGUCGUGAGUUCGAGCCUCACCCAGGACA